GCUCUGGUGAGGUUCUCUCUGGCUGUCAGUCCUCAACUUCAAACAUGAGACAGGUGGCUCUAGGGAGAAUGGAUUGGGAGAGAGAAUGUCUGGGGCCCAGGGAGACCAGUGAGGAGGCUGCAGCCAAGUCUGGGAGUAAAUGAGAGCUGGUUAACCAGCGCCCCACUGGGGGCUGGUGAGAGAGAAGCUGACCUCAGACUCAUUCCGGCAGCAUCCUUUACCCACACGUGGAAGCCAAGGCUUGUGUGUGGGGAGAUGGGACAGGCGUGAGAAGAGCUCUCCAGAGUGUGAGACCCUGGCACUGGCAGACAAGUGGGACAGAGCCUUGCCUUCCUGAUGGAGCUGCCAUGGGGCUGGAAGAGGAGCAGAAGCAGCUUGCCUGUUGCUCACCAGGAAGUCCCAGACCUGAAAACUUAGCCGAGUAACUUUCAUGGGCCAAU